CGUAGUCUGCAACUCGACUGCGUGAAGUCGGAAUCGCUAGUAAUCGCGGAUCAGCUUGCCGCGGUGAAUACGUUCCCGGGUCUUGUACACACCGCCCGUCACACCAUGGGAGCGGGUUCUGCCAGAAGUAGUUAGCCUAACCGCAAGGGGGGCGAUUACCACGGCAGGGUUCGUGACUGGGGUGAAGUCGUAACAAGGUAGCCGUAUCGGAAGGUGCGGCUGGAUCACCUCCUUU
rnacentral:rRNA from 1 species